AAACUACAAGGGGAGCCGAAGCUCCCCCAGAAGUAGUUGCGUGCUCUAUUUUUAUUAUGGUUGCGGGCUUUUUGUUUUUGUUGAUCGCCCUCGCCAUGAAGCUUCACCUUCAUGACACUCCCAAUCGGGAGCCAAGAGCAAACGGAUUGCUUUGGUCGCUGUGUUGCUGAUCUACGAUCCAACCAGUUCAGGCUCUGCCUUAGGGCAGUU
rnacentral:misc_RNA from 1 species